UGAAAUGGUACUCAGAAAUUCUGACUUUUU
rnacentral:piRNA from 1 species